UACGUAGGGGCCAAGCGUUGUCCGGAUUUAUUGGGCGUAAAGAGCUCGUAGGCGGUUCGGCAAGUCAGCUGUGAAAUUUCCACGCUCAACGUGGAGGGGUCAGCUGAUACUGCUGUGACUCGAGUCCGGUAGGGGAGUGUGGGAAUUCCCGGUGUAGCGGUGAAAUGCGCAGAUAUCGGGAGGAACACCAGUAGCGAAGGCGGCACUCUGGGCCGGUACUG
rnacentral:rRNA from 1 species